UCGCUGUAUGGCGAUGGCGCGUUCGACGGUUAGAUUGUCGCUAAAUAUAGCUGUUUUGGUCGAUGGAUCGAUUCCCUCACAACGGU
rnacentral:tRNA from 1 species